AUGCCAAACUGGAGCAAGUCUGCUAUUAUUUUCAGCAGGAAUGUCAAUGCCAUCAAUAAGGAGGGUAUUAAAAGAAUUUUUCCGGUGCAGGAUAUUAGCGAUAGUUCUAUCUAUUUAGGACAUCCUUUAAUCCUCCCUGACAAAGAUAGAUCCAGUGCUUAUGAUUUUGUUGCCGACAAAUUUAAAGUUAAAUUGACCGGCUAUAAGGCCAACAAACUUUCACAUGCAGCUAGAUUAACUCUGAUCAAUUCAGUUUUCGCUUCCAUCCCUGUCUACUAUAUGUCAAAUAUCCUUUUCUCUAGGAAACUUAUUGCCAAACUUACUUCUAUCAUUAGGAAUUUUUGGUGGACAGGAAUAAAAGAAGACCCAUCAAAGAAAGCUCUUUGCCUUAGGGCAUGGAAGGACAUUUGCACCCCAAAAGUUGAAGGGGGGCUAGGAAUCAAGAACAUCCAAGCAGUAAAUAGAGGACUAAUC
rnacentral:rRNA from 1 species